AUGCCCAGCUUUUCAAGUGAAGGCAUCACAUUGGGACGUUCAUCCUUGUUGAACAUGCUGAGGAUCCUGCCCUAGGAAGAAAGAGGCAAUGGCAAACCACUUCCUAACAGCCUGGGAUACUCUAUUAAGAUAAACUUGACAAUUAUCA